rnacentral:rRNA from 1 species
CGUAGGUAACCUGCCUUGUAGCGGGGGGAUAACUAUUGGAAACGAUAGCUAAUACCGCAUAACAAUGGAUGACACAUGUCAUUUAUUUGAAAGGGGCAAAUGCUCCACUACAAGAUGGACCUGCGUUGUAUUAGCUAGUAGGUGAGGUAACGGCUCACCUAGGCGACGAUACAUAGCCGACCUGAGAGGGUGAUCAGCCACACUGGGACUGAGACACGGCCCAG